GGAUAUAGCUCAGUAGUAGAGUACUUGCCUAGCAUGUGUGAGAGCCUGGGUUCAAUCCCCAAUAGCACA
rnacentral:tRNA from 1 species